UUGAACGCUGGCGGCAGGCCUAACACAUGCAAGUCGAACGGUAACAGGAAACAGCUUGCUGUUUCGCUGACGAGUGGCGGACGGGUGAGUAAUGUCUGGGAAACUGCCUGAUGGAGGGGGAUAACUACUGGAAACGGUAGCUAAUACCGCAUAACGUCGCAAGACCAAAGAGGGGGACCUUCGGGCCUCUUGCCAUCGGAUGUGCCCAGAUGGGAUUAGCUAGUAGGUGGGGUAACGGCUCACCUAGGCGACGAUCCCUAGCUGGUCUGAGAGGAUGACCAGCCACACUGGAACUGAGACACGGUCCAGACUCCUACGGGAGGCAGCAGUGGGGAAUAUUGCACAAUAGGCGCAAGCCUGAUGCAGCCAUGCCGCGUGUAUGAAGAAGGCCUUCGGGUUGUAAAGUACUUUCAGCGGGGAGGAAGGGAGUAAAGUUAAUACCUUUACUCAUUGACGUUACCCGCAGAAGAAGCACCGGCUAACUCCGUG
rnacentral:rRNA from 1 species